rnacentral:rRNA from 1 species
AUUCCAGCUCCAAUAGCGUAUAUUUAAGUUGUUGCAGUUAAAAAGCUCGUAGUUGGAUUUCGGGUGUCAUCUGCCGGUCCGCCGUUUCGGUGUGCACUGGCGGGCGUCAUCUUUCUGUCGAGGACGCGCUCCUGUCCUUCACUGGUCGGGACGCGGAGUCGGCGAGGUUACUUUGAAAAAAUUAGAGUGUUCAAAGCGGGCUUACGCUUGAAUAUAUUAGCAUGGAAUAACACUAUAGGACUCCUGUCCUAUUUUGUUGGUCUUCGGGACGGGAGUAAUGAUUAAGAGGAACAGUUGGGGGCAUUCGUAUUUCAUUGUCAGAGGUGAAAUUCUUGGAUUUAUGAAAGACGAACUUCUGCGAAAGCAUUUGCCAAGGAUGUUUUCAUUG